rnacentral:rRNA from 1 species
UACGUAGGGCGCAAGCGUUGUCCGGAAUUAUUGGGCGUAAAGAGCUCGUAGGCGGUUUGUCGCGUCUGCUGUGAAAACCUAAGGCUCAACCUUGGGCUUGCAGUGGGUACGGGCAGACUAGAGUGCGGUAGGGGUGACUGGAAUUCCUGGUGUAGCGGUGGAAUGCGCAGAUAUCAGGAGGAACACCGAUGGGCGAAGGCAGGUCACUGGGCCGCAACUGACG